AGCCCCAUGGUGUAGUGGCCAAGCAUAGGGGACUCUGGAUCCUCUGACCGAGGUUCAAAUCCUCGUGGGGCUA
rnacentral:tRNA from 1 species